rnacentral:tRNA from 1 species
UCCCUGGUGGCUCAGAUGGUAAAGAAUCUGCCUGCAAUGCAGGAGACCCAGGUUCGAUCCCUAGGUCGGGAA